rnacentral:rRNA from 1 species
GGGUUGUGAGGUUAAGCGACUAAGCGUACACGGUGGAUGCCCUGGCAGUCAGAGGCGAUGAAGGACGUGCUAAUCUGCGAUAAGCGUCGGUAAGGUGAUAUGAACCGUUAUAACCGGCGAUUUCCGAAUGGGGAAACCCAGUGUGAUUCGUCACACUAUCAUUAACUGAAUCCAUAGGUUAAUGAGGCGAACCGGGGGAACUGAAACAUCUAAGUACCCCGAGGAAAAGAAAUCAACCGAGAUUCCCCCAGUAGCGGCGAGCGAACGGGGAGGAGCCCAGAGCCUGAAUCAGUGUGUGUGUUAGUGGAAGCGUCUGGAAAGGCGCGCGAUACAGGGUGACAGCCCCGUACACAAAAAUGCACAUACUGUGAGCUCGAUGAGUAGGGCGGGACACGUGGUAUCCUGUCUGAAUAUGGGGGGACCAUCCUCCAAGGCUAAAUACUCCUAACUGACCGAUAGUGAACCAGUACCGUGAGGGAAAGGCGAAAAGAACCCCGGCGAGGGGAGUGAAAAAGAACCUGAAACCGUGUACGUACAAGCAGUGGGAGCCUCUUAAUGGGGUGACUGCGUACCUUUUGUAUAAUGGGUCAGCGACUUAUAUUCUGUAGCAAGGUUAACCGAAUAGGGGAGCCGAAGGGAAACCGAGUCUUAACUGGGCGUUAAGUUGCAGGGUAUAGACCCGAAACCCGGUGAUCUAGCCAUGGGCAGGUUGAAGGUUGGGUAACACUAACUGGAGGACCGAACCGACUAAUGUUGAAAAAUUAGCGGAUGACUUGUGGCUGGGGGUGAAAGGCCAAUCAAACCGGGAGAUAGCUGGUUCUCCCCGAAAGCUAUUUAGGUAGCGCCUCGUGAAUUCAUCUCCGGGGGUAGAGCACUGUUUCGGCAAGGGGGUCAUCCCGACUUACCAACCCGAUGCAAACUGCGAAUACCGGAGAAUGUUAUCACGGGAGACACACGGCGGGUGCUAACGUCCGUCGUGAAGAGGGAAACAACCCAGACCGCCAGCUAAGGUCCCAAAGUCAUGGUUAAGUGGGAAACGAUGUGGGAAGGCCCAGACAGCCAGGAUGUUGGCUUAGAAGCAGCCAUCAUUUAAAGAAAGCGUAAUAGCUCACUGGUCGAGUCGGCCUGCGCGGAAGAUGUAACGGGGCUAAACCAUG